GUCACCUUGUUCUUGGUUGUUCCCUCUCGGGAACUCCCAAAUUUUCACCCCAAAUUCGACCACAAAACUUGUACAUUACUUUGUAAACAUAAAAAAGCAUUCAAAACAAUAACAAACUUGGAAUUAUAUCACCAAUUCACCUCAAAUUCAUCACCUAGUUCAUUUUUGACCAAAACCUACAAUUUUCUCAAUUUUUCAUUCAAACUUCAUAAACAACUACACCAAUUCAAACCCCAACAAC
rnacentral:lncRNA from 1 species